rnacentral:tRNA from 1 species
GGCUUUAUAGUCAAUAUAUGAUAUUAGACUGCAAUUCUAAAGUAAGGUAUAAUAAGCCUUAAAGCUU